GACGAACGCUGGCGGCGUGCUUAACACAUGUAAGUCGAACGGUAAGGCCUUUCGGGGUACACGAGUGGCGAACGGGUGAGUAACACGUGGGUGAUCUGCCCUGCACUUUGGGAUAAGCCUGGGAAACUGGGUCUAAUACCGAAUAGGACCAUGGACUUCACGGUUUGUGGUGGAAAGCUUUUGCGGUGUGGGAUGGGCCCGCGGCCUAUCAGCUUGUUGGUGGGGUAAUGGCCUACCAAGGCGACGACGGGUAGCCGGCCUGAGAGGGUGACCGGCCACACUGGGACUGAGAUACGGCCCAGACUCCUACGGGAGGCAGCAGUGGGGAAUAUUGCACAAUGGGCGCAAGCCUGUUGCAGCGACGCCGCGUGAGGGAUGACGGCCUUCGGGUUGGUAAACCUACUUUCCUAGCACAGACGAAGCGCAAGUGACGGUAUGUGCAG
rnacentral:rRNA from 1 species